rnacentral:miRNA from 1 species
AUUUUGGGUUGGCCAAAAAGUUUGUUCAAGUUUUUCUGCAAGAUGUCAUGGAAAAAUCUGAAUGAACUUUUUGACCAACACAAUAU